rnacentral:misc_RNA from 1 species
AAAAAAAGGCGUAAUAUCUUGUUCUGUCGGCAUCGUUUUACCAUUUUAAAGGCCCUCAUUUAAAUCACCAUGGAUACUUACCCAGGCUCAACUGACGAAGCUCACCCAGAACUGUUCAACAUGAGCGCCAUGCCAAAGCAGCCCAAAGAACAGAAACCGGGGCAGCUGAGUAGGGAGGAGGUCGAACAUUUCUUCAGGGAGGGUUACUUAGUGGUCGAGAACUUUUUCCGACCAGAAGAGCUGAAUGCGUGCAGGGACGCUAUCAAAGUGUUAGUUGAUGACCUUGCCAAAAAGCUGCACGAUGCGGGCAAAAUCACGAAACUGUACAAAGAUCUUGGACUUUUUGAACGACUCUCGGAGAUUGAGAAAGAAUGCCCGGGUGCCAACAUCAUGCUGCAUAAGAUAGGGUCUAUGCCACAGGCUUUCAGGGAUGUGUGGUCAAACGACAGACUUCUGAACGUUGUAGAACAGCUGAUUGGUCCAGACAUAAUUGGCCACCCUGUAUGGAACCUCCGAACGAAAACUCCCCAGAACGAGGCUACAACCGUCCCCUGGCAUCAAGAUGUUGGUUAUCUUGACAAUUCCUCAUACAAAGUGAUGCAGCCGACUGCUUGGAUUCCAUUAUUGGACGCCAACGAGUCGAACGGAUGCAUGCAGUUGAUGGCCAAAGGGCACAAAACCGGAAAGGUUGGCACCCACCAGUGUUGCCACGGCGGCACGUGGUACGUGAUGCUAGAGGAAGAAGAAAUGAGGAAGACGUUAGACAUCGAUACAGAGAACGAUUUGAAGGUCUGUCCCAUAAGUUAUGGUGGCAUGCUGCUAUUUAACAACCUUGUACCACAUCGAAGUCUACCAAACAUGUCAAAGGCAAUUCGCUGGAGUUUGGACCUGCGUUGGCAGAGACCCUCAGAACCAGUGGGGUUCUAUGGUCUGAAGGAGGGGCUUUUGAUACGACAAUUCAGGGUCCCUGGAUGAAGAAGUGGGAGAUCGUGCACGUGAACCGUCACGUGGAACGGCAUAGAGAAAUGGAGGACAACCCGGAAUCCUGGACAAAGGCCUAGUGUAUACGUCAAAUACACAAACUGAUGACGACGCACACACCAAAGUCAACUGUUAACAUCUUUCAGAAGCUGUUUUUAUAUUCAGAUAUGCAAAGUUUGAUUCAGGAUAUCGUUGUAGAUAUUUGUAUUUUUCCUCCGAGGUGGGGUAAAUUUUUUAUUAGUCAUUUAUACUUAAAGAAUUUUUUGCAGAUAUACGUAUACAUUUUAUUGAUUCCUGAAAAUAUAUAGAAAGAUAGGCAUGUGUUUAAAAAACAGAGGAUGUCUUAAUAUUAACAAACCUUGACGUGCAAAUAUAUCUGUUCUUGCAAUAAUCAAAAAGUACAUUUGUUUAUAUUUUGUCAAUACCAGGUAAUGAUGCAUCGUUUUUAUUGCAGAAUGAAUUUUAAUGCAAUUUUGUAAACAUUCGAAAAUGAACCUAUAUUAUCAUUUGGUUCAUCUUGCUCCAUUUAUUCAUACAUGAAGUAUAUGCUGUAUAUGAUUUAAAUCAACAUACAUGUAUCUAUAUAUACAUUUUUGCCAUAAUUUUUGUUUCAUAUAAAUGCUGUAUUUUAACAAUAAACUUUUACAGAAUAUGUU